ACCGGGAAAGGGAAUAACACUCGAAAUGUAUAUAAGAAAUACUCAAGUUAAUAAAAAAAAAAAAGAAAAGAAAAGAAAAAGAAUUACCAGUCUCUUAGGCAAUAGGUACUUGGUUUCUUUUAUGAAUGAGAUACUCUGAAAUUCUGGACUUUCAACAAAUUAAGCACAAAUGAAUACAGUUUUGUAGAUACAAUGGCAAUAGCAUGUAUUUGUAGCUCAUGCCUUAGCCUGGAAUCUGAUCCACAUAUAGUCACCCUAGAUACCUCCUUGAGACGACUUUUCAAACACUGUGUGGUAAUCUGUUCUCUGGAAGAGUAGAAGGGGCAUUAGAAAUCCUUAACAGGCUUACAUUCAGACAAAAUGUGUCCACAUGUUUGCAAAUUCAUUUGAUUGUUCCUUGCUAACUCAAAUAUUUAUCUAUAACAAUGAAUUUCAAUCUAUAAUAUACCCAAGUCUAGUAUAUUUCACAUUCUUUCUUUAAUCUUCAUGUGAAAUGAGAACUUAGAGACAAUUUCAAAGGGCUUUAUGUGAAUAGCCAAAGACUAGAUUGUCCUGGACAAAAUUAGACAGGGCUGACAGUUGAAGGCAGUUGCAGUGAGUUGUGUGACAGAUUAAGUGAAGAAACAAAUAGUAAGAGGGUUUGGGGGAUACUGUAAGCCAAUGAAAGGAUAGGAAAGACAGACCAAUGAUAUGACUGAAUCUUGAUGUUAUUCAGCUAUUCCAAUAUUUGCAACGUUUUUUUCUACUUAGGUCACUUAAUUUUGCUAAUGAACUGUUCUAAGAGAGUCGAUAAUAGGUAGAGGUGCUGUUUCCUCUAAUGUUUACAUUUCAGAGUCAGACGUUUUCCAGGUUGUUACAUGGCUAGAAAUUAAUGUGUACAGGUUUCAAAAAGGCAGAGAAUUAAUGCAUAAUAUCAAGCCUUCCAAAAUAAAACUUCUAAGUAAGGGAGAUAAGAAAAUGUCUUAGAGUUCGGUUACCCUAGAUGCCAGCUGGCAGAUACUUAAAAAUCACAGCAUCAUUUGUUGUAAUUCACGAUAUAUUUUGUACCCAGUAUACUGUCACAAUCUUUACCUUGGGCACAUUUAUAAGUAUUUAAUAUAUACCAAACAUAAUUAAAAACACAUUAUAUUCUAUAUUCUAUUCAAUCCACAUAAUUUCCCAACAUGUUUUCCUCAUGAUCACAAGUUUGCACAGAAUGAUUUCAAAAAAAAAAAAAAAGGCUUUUAAUGAGACACUGUUUCACUCUCCAAAGCAGUUGUGUCCUAUAAACUUCCUCUGGAGUUUCUUUGGGUGGUGGGAACCCCUUUAUGAUUCUCUAUUGUGAAGAGAGAUGUAUCUUUAAAAUGAAAAUUGAAUGCUGAUACAUCUGUUACUGUCUCACCAUACUGUUUAAGAGAGCAGUAAUGAAUACAGUGACAUCCAUUAGCCUAACAUGAUGAAUGUGUCUGAGCCUAUUUAUUUGUUUUGGGCAUUUUUGUGAAGCUCCUUGGGAGAUCAAAAAGCCUCAGCUAAGGACAGCCUUGGUGACUGAUAAAAGUUGAUUAGCUGGCUACAAGAAUCAGUUUGCUUUGCUCUUUUCUAUGUACAGAUGCUUCUCCAUUGUUUUGUUUUGUUUUUUAUCUCAUGAGCUCAAUUGAGUAGCACAGAAGGCAAAAGAUUGAUACCUUUCUCUGUCACACAUUACUUAAAUUGUAUAUAUUUUUAAAUUUCACUUAUUAAUUUACUUUCCCUUAUUGUAUGUUGGGUAAGGUCAGUGGGCGUUUGCAGGUCAGAGGACAACUUAUGGGAUUUUUCUCUCAUUAUACCAGUGAGUUCUGGUAAUUGAACUCCAGGCAUCACACAUGGCAGCAAAGUUUUUCUCCAUUGAGACAUUUCACAGGCUUAACAUCACAUAUUUUGGAUUAAUCUUUGUUGAAAUAUAAAAUCAAGGAAAUUUCAACUGUACGGAUGUGUUCAAGGCUAUUUCUCACUUUCUCUCUUAUUAGAUUAAGUGUAUCUGGUUUAUGUGGAGGUCCUUGAUUCACUUGGACUUGAGCUUUGUGCAAGGAGAUUAAAUAUGGAUCAAUUUGCAUUCUUCUACAUGCAAAUUGCCAGUUAAACCAGCACCAUUUGGGAUCCCUUAGUCACACAUCAAACCCAGAAAUUCUUACUGUUGCUAUAUUGUGCUUGCAGACAGGAGCCUGAAAUGACUGUUCUCUGAGACGCUCUGCCAUCUACUGACUGAAACAAAUGCAGAUAUUUACAGCCAACCAUUGGACUGAGAUCCGGGACCCCUAUGGAAGAGUUAGGGGAACAGAGGGGGAUUGCAAACCCAUGAGAAGAACAAUAGUAUCAAGUAGCCCCGAACCCUCAGAGCUCUCAGAGACUAAAGAAACAAUCAAGGAGCAUACAUGGGCCCCAGGGCCCCAGCACAUAUGUAGCAGAGGACCGCCUAGUCUGGCCACAGUGGAAAAAGAUGUACUUAAUCCUGGGGAAACUUGAUACCCCAGGGAACAGAGAUGGAGUAGGUGGGUAGACAGCUGGGGGAUCACUGUAUCUGAGACGGGGAAACUGAGUAUGGUAUGAAGAACUCAGAGAGGGAGGGCCAAGAAGGGAGGCAGCCUUUGGAACGUAAAUAAAUCAAAUAAUUUUUUAAAAAUAAAUUCAGUAUUUUGGAAACAACAUAUUUACUGACUUAUGAUGCUUUAGCAAUGCUGAGUGGCCAACAUCUCCUUGUAAAACCCUAGCACUAUCAUCUUGAACUAGAAUUUCAUAUUCAUUAAGCAACAUUUCUUCCUCCCCAUCUUAGCCCCUAGCAACUACCAGUCUGCUUCCAAUUUCUAACAUGUCAAACUUUUUAAGCCAUUUUUUUUACUAAAUACAAAUAAUAGGAAGCACCAACUUGAAACAUUAUCAUAUUAUUAUACUUAGUUUCAGCCUUAGAAUAAUCUUAGGAAGAGACUAAUGCGGAGAGGUUAAGAAGCUUUUAGGUGAACACAUAUAGGUUAUAAUGCAGAGGAAGGUUUAUAUCAUUUAGCCCAUGGAACUGUCAGUUGGGCUUCUUCUAUUACCAUAACAGACGUGAGUACAAGUAUCCCUCCAUUGAAAACUUGUUUAAUUUUGCAAGUUGAUUACUGUUAGAACAUAGCACAGACACAAAACAAUGAAACAAUAAAUGCCAAUUACAUACAUAUGCAGACCUGUUUCCUGACACCAGAAAGAAAUGUAGUUCACUGGAAAUAGUUAAAGAAGACCAAAAAGCCAGAGAGUCAACACCCCACCCAAUCUCAAGUUCAAAAUAAAACAUUAUUUUAUGUUAUUUUUUUUACCCAAGAUACUCAUUCUGAAUUUUUGCUGCAUAAAAAUGAAGAAAAAAUGUGUUUCAACUUAAAUACAUUUUGCCUUAAGGAGUUUCAGACAGUUUGAACUUGAAAUGCAGCCCGUGAAUGAAUAUUUAAUUUUACUUUCCUUAUAAGUGAAGUUGAAUCACUUUUGCAAGUCUGAGGGUGACAGUUUCAAAUUUCAGCUCAGGCAGGCAAUCAACAGAGAAUAAUAUUACAGCAGGGGGAAAAGUUGGUGAUUCAGUAAUGACAUUUUAAUGUUACAGAACGGAGUAUUGGUCUAGAGAUUUGCAAUCCCUUGUGAUGGCUUUCUGUUGACUUAACAAUCAAUACCAUCAUAACAAUAAAACUAUGCAAGUCUCUAGCUAUAGGCAAUGCCUAAGAAUGAGGACGUGUCCAUCAUUCAGUACAGCCUUCCAGGUUUUCCUACACAACAAAGUGUUUUCAAUGCAUUUAAUAUGGUGUUUGAACGCGAGGCACAGACAUUUAAAGAUAUUGAAAAAAGGAUUUCUUCCUCUCGGCUCUUAUUUAUUAAAGUAAAGAUGGUUUUACGGAACACGUUUUUAAUGCUAGACUUGAGAAACAUUUCACAUAUAUUUUUUUUUAAAUUUUAAAGUCGAAUAGCUCCGAAUGCCACAGGAGGUAUCUUGUCAUCAUUAAGCAUUUAUUAAGUCUUUUCAUUGCAUGGCGCCAUCACGUUAGAAUUGGGAUUUUAGCAGACAUGAUCUCUGUCCAUUAGAACAGCUUGGCCUAUAACCUGAUCAGUGACCACAAAUUGGACCUUGGCUUGCACGCUGUCUUUACUUACUGAGUUACAGCGGAAUGACUAUAAAGGUCUGAUCUUUGCCGUUAAUGAUGUUUAUGAAUGGAUCUUCCUUAUGAUCCAUGAGCAGUUUCUCAUUUCUGACAGGCGUCACUGUUCCCAGGGACCCUAAAACUGAGGUGUUCUUAGGUUGAUCUUACAGGGUGGGAGGAACAAGGGAGAAAUGGCGGUAGUCUCCAGCUUUUUUACAACUGGAAUUAGGAAAGUGGGUCAUAAAAGAUUUCCUAGAAUCAUUUUGUUUCAUAAUUUAAUUUUCAGUACAAACAAACUUAUAGACCCACCAUAGACAAUGUGGAAACUGGAGCCCCUCCCCUCUUUGCAAAUAACCCUCUAGCCGUUAUUUGUCCAACCGACAAAGGUUUACAUUGGAGAUCCACUUGUUCCGGCUGGAGAACACAAUGAGGCAUAAAGUCUACCCUCGAGGAACUCAUAAUCUAGAAAGAGAAAAGUAAAAAAUUGCAAAAGGCUUACCGUAAGAUCAUUGCCAGGAAAGCAACUUUACAUAUGUCUGAGGGCUAUAUGAAAUUACAGAUUACUCAACUGCUUUGAGGAAUGUCUGUCAAGGGGGAGAAGAGUAGAGAAAGGAUUUGAAUUGUGAGGAGGAUUUCGUCAGGCUCAGAAAGGUGAAAGGGUGCAGUAGAGAGUUAGAACAGUGUUAGCCACAAUGUGCCUAUGUGAAAACAUGGAACACAUUAAAUCACACGCCAUAAAAUGUGGGACAUUUGAAGGAACUAUGGUUCAGAGCAAAAACCCAGAAAGGAGUUUUAAGGUCUUAUGCUUGUUCUAAUGAAAUGUUUUAAUUUAUGCUGAAAUUAAACUGAAAGGCAUCAACUUGGGAGUAUAUAUAGCAUGUGGAUAUUCAUGCAGUGUUUGCCUUAGAAUUCCACAGGCCUAGAUGCUAUGUGAAUAACCCUUGCUAUAUUUUUUAAAAGACAGAUUUUGCCCUCUAUUUUUUGCAAUGAUAUGUUUCCAACGCAUAUGUUGAGUGCUCAGUAUGCUGUACAGUAAUAGUUCUUGACUGUGUAGGUGAAAUUACAAAUGUUGACAUUCUCUGCUCAGAAAAUGUCUGUGUACGGAACAUCCUACUGAUGGACAUUUACUACACAAAAUACCCAGUAGAACCAUACUGGCCUCCAGCCCACAACCACGUUUGUUAUUAUGAUUUCUCUGGACAGGCUGAAGCAUCUUUCCUGAGCUUCAUCCAGCGUUUGCAUAGACUCCUUGCUUGUCAUCACUUUACUUGAAUAAACAGCACAAACUCCCUCAAGGGUCAGGGAGAUCAAUCCAUGUCUUUGAAGGAAGAAGCUGAAAACAAUUUAAUAUAUUAUACCAUGGGAUACAGUCAAUCCAGAUGCUUGAACAUAUCAAAAGUUAUGGAAAUAUAAGAGAACUGCUCAAUAUAAGAUCAAGUCAAUAAGUUUAUAUAGGACGAGAGAUUGGUUACAGUUUUUUUCCGAGAUGGGAAUAUGCAUCUGUAUCAUAAAAGGCAAAAUUGGACAGUAAAUACAUGAAUUCAGUUUGAAAAGGUAAAAGACAGAGUCUGCAUUUGGGCAGCAGUAAUGGUGCCCCAGGGCUUCUGAGGGAUAGUAAGCUGUGUGCGUGUGCGUGUGUGUGUGUGUGUGUGUGUGUGUGUGUGUGUGUUGACUUAAAAUGAACAUACAUGUGUUGUUAGGAUUUAAACUCUUUUUGUCUUUUUGAUCUGUGAUAAGAAGUUAAAACUCUUUUUUCAUUUUUUGUAAGAUUGAAAAAAUUGGAAGAUUUUGGUAUUGGAAGAUGACAGUAACAAAGUAUUGAAAAUACUGAGGUCUAAUAGAGUGACAGGCAAACUAUCAUGCAUUACUACCACUGAGUCUUAUAAUAAAGUAGGCCAUGGUCGCCAUCCUACCACUUCUUUUUUUUUUUUUUUGCUGUUUUAAUUUAUUUAUUUAUUUAUUUAUUUUUUUAUUAACUUGAGUAUUUCUUAUAUACAUUUCGAGUGUUAUUCCCUUUCCCGGUUUCCGGGCAAACAUCCCCCUCCCCCCUCCCCUUCCUUAUGGGUGUUCCCCUCCCAACCCUCCCCCCAUUGCCGCCCUCCCCCCAUAGACUAGUUCACUGGGGGUUCAGUCUUAGCAGGACCCAGGGCUUCCCCUUCCACUGGUGCUCUUACUAGGAUAUCCAUUGCUACCUAUGGGGUCAGAGUCCAGGGUCAGUCCAUGUAUAGUCUUUAGGUAGUGGCUUAGUCCCUGGAAGCUCUGGUUGCUUGGCAUUGUUGUACUUUUGGGGUCUCGAGCCCCUUCAAGCUCUUCCAGUUCUUUCUCUGAUUCCUUCAAUAGGGGACCUAUUCUCAGUUCAUCCUACCACUUCUAAGACAAGAUAAAUAAAACUUAAGAAAAUUAAUUUACUCACUAAAACUCCUCCAGAUAUAUCAUUAUAACUUAUUAUAGUGCCGUAUCUAUAUGACUGAGAUUCACUUUAAACAUGCUUGAAAUAUUCCAACAAUAGAUAGAAACAUGAUUUCAAAAAGUCCAAUGCAUCCUUCCCCACUCAUUUUCAUAAAAUUGUAAAGAAGAUAGUUUGUCCUUAAAAGGGGGAUUUUUAAAUACAUUUAAAAAUCAGUAUGCUAUCAUUCAGUAACACCAUAGGAGAGAGGUACCAGUGUAUUUGGUACAAUGUGGUUUGCAAUACAAAAAUAAAGACACACCUAAUCCAAUAGUCCUUCAAGCUGGAUCACCCCUUGUACUUAUGUAGUGGAUCUACUGAGGGGUCCACACGAAGGUCCCCCAGAAACUGGAGCAGAGGCUGUCAAUAAAGCUGUUGCCUGUCUGUGCAAUCUGUUCCCCUAUCUGGGAUGACUCGUCUGGAAACAGUGGGAGAGAACAGGAGGAGUAGUGGGAGAGGGACUUGUGAGAAAGGUACUGGGAGGAAGGCAUAGGUACUGGGAUGGAAAAGGAAUAAAUAACUUUCUUAAUGAAGUAAACAAAUAAAUAAAAAGUCAGGAAAAAUAGUUCUUCAAGAAAAUUUAAAAAUUGUAUUCAACACCUCUUCACUUUCUAAGACUGAUUUAUGACUUAAAAAAUUAGUACUGUCAUAAUAGUUCUUGCUCACAUGAGAGAAUUUAUCCUGAAAACUUAAUGAGUAUUAGAUCAAUUUUUAAAUUAUGGGAGACAGCAUCAUAGCCAUGUAUAAGUGAAGAUAAAUGAGAAGAUUCUAUGAAAUUCCAUAGAUAACAGCAUACUUGUGAAAAUGCCUGUUUAUUGAAAUUAUUAUAUAUAAAAGAAUUUUGAUCUUACAAUAUUUCAGCAACUUUUUCUGCCUAUGAACUAUUUUGCCCUCUAUAUUUUCUGUAUUGUGUAAUUUUGUAUUAAUCACCUACCAUUAAACUAUGAAUAAAGUUGUUCCAGUGUUUUGAUAAAUAUGAUUGCGUACCUCAGGACAUUAAUUUCUUAGUCUGUGUUUCUAUAGUUUAUUGGUUAAAAGAAGAAUAAGGCAUUCACAUAAAUAUAUUUAAUAAAAAUAUUUUGAGCAUCACUGAUGUCUUAAUUUUUGUAAGCCAACACUUUUGAGGAACAACCCUUAUAGAAUAAAAAUAUGUGAACCAAGAGUAUAAUUUAAAUUUUUCUCAUAACUAUUUCAGAAACCUAAAACUACUGCAAAAAAAAUGCCAAACUGAAAAUGGACAUUAAUGUGAAAUGAAGCUGUAUUAAAGUAAUAAAGGCUGUCUAUAUGUAGCUCAUGCCUUACUUUGUUACCAUUCUAAAGAUAAUUAUUUAAAGCAAUUUCAUCACAUCGCACACAUCGCACACUUGGGAUCAUCUUGGAGUCAUGUGAGAGUAGCAGCCACUAUAAAGAGUAGCAGAGAGAGAAAAGAAGUAAUAUUGCAAAGAAGCCAUUUGUUUGCACCCCCAAAGUUGUGCGAUGCUCUGCACAGCACUCCCAGGAAGAACAGAAGACAUAGCUCUGAUUUUUUUAAGGUUUUUUUUUAAUCUAUGUCAUCUUUGCUAUCAGAUUAUAUUCCUUUGCCAAGCAAGGUAUCUUUGCCCGAUAGUAAACUCAUGUUUUCCAGGUCACUAGACGUCCUCCUUUAAAUGAAAUGUCUUGCUUGAAUAGUUAUUCAGAGUAAAUAUGCUCACAGAAGGGGAAAUCAAUGUAAUUAUUAUUUGAUCAGUAUGACUUUUUCCUUUUUUUUGGACACUUGCUACUCCUUUUACAUCUGCUUUAAAUUUUCAUGUAUUUAGUUUAUUAGAGAUUGGUAACUUGCCCUGGUGAGAUCUAAGCCAGUGUUUUGAAAAGAUGUUUUGAUAUCAUGUAAAUGUUGCUUAAGUUUAUCACCUGCAAUCACGGAGGGACUAUUUUGAAAAGGAAGACAUCGUUCAUUGCCGCUGGAAGGAAAUGGAUUAGGAGACCAAAAGUAAAGCUCGUAAUAGAAAGAAAAAUUAGCUCAAAAUCACUUUGUUCUUUUCCCUAAUGCCGUUUAAUGAAUUCCUUCUGACACGGGAGAAUAUUUGACAUUUGAGAGUCAGCAAAAGGUCUGAUGAUGAUUCACAGCAUGAUGUAACAGAAUGCAAGAUGGCUUCAUCCCCAAUAAAGGCAUGGUGGAAAAUAUCAGCCCUCAUGAAUUUUCAAGUCAUGGAUGAAAUGUGUUCGAGGGAAGCAGGGGAAACCUUGACAAAUAAAGGACUCAGGUUUGUUACUUCAGAACACCCAUCAAUUUUAACUGAACUAGCCAUUUAAAUGAAACUUAUUCUUAAGAUAUUAAAGUUGUUUCAUUUUCACAUUUCACGUUUCGCUCUCACACAGUUGAAUUUCUCCUUCUGCAUUACACUAGAUGGGAGUGUGCUUCAUGAUUCGUCUCCUAUAGAAAAGAUUUCACAAAUCCAAUAAUUAAACUGAUAGAGAUGGUGAAAUGUAAAAAAGAAAAGAAACAUAAACUGAAAAACACUUAGAAACUUGCAUAUUUGUAUGGUAGAUGUGAGCUUGGUAAGUAUUUCUUGUAAUUUUUAGUAAGCAAUCAGUGGAAACAACAAAACAGAGCCCUUCAGUGCAUAGCCUUCUUGUAUUGGAACUAGUGAUAUUAGAAUAAUAACAGAUAUGGAAACAUAGGCCAUAGGCAUAGAGAAGACUGGAAAACAGAAACAUUUAAAAAUCUAGAUGCCAAGUAUCAGUGUUUAUUUUGUGUUUCAUCUGAUACUGCAUCAAAUCAACUGGGUAUAGACUCUCAGUUGACAAAUUAUCCAGAUGAAACUAUCCCUUGUGGCUUGUGUUGAUCGAUAACUGAUGUAGGAGAGCCUAACCAUAUGUGAGGGACACUGUCCUCUAUUAGGCAGGAAUACUACAUUGUCCAAGAAAUGCUACUAAAUAUGAGAUAGCUAUUGGGCCAGCAAACUGCAAUUCUCCAUGGAUUCUGCUUCAAAUUCCAGUUCUAAUUCCUUCCCCAACUCUCCUUCACGAUAGACUGGAGCCUCUAAGCCAUAGCAAACUAUUCCUCUCCAGAGUUGCUUUUUCUCAGAAUGGUCAGUCACAGCAAAAGACACACAACUAGAGCACCAAAAAAUAUAGUGAUUUUAUUACCUGUGAAUCAACUUCAAAAACCUAAUAAUAAGAUACCUUAUAAUGUCAAACUUUGGUUAUAUUAUAUUUUGACAAUAAUGAUAAAAAUAAUCAACCUGGUCUAUGUAAACUGACUCCAAGUUCAAAACAACAAACGAGCCAGCAAUAACAAUAAAUCAUCAUUUUAGAGCUAUUAUUACAAACCAUAGUUCUUUUUUAUUUCCAUCUUUAUAAAAUUGGGUACUUCUUAUUUACAUUUCAAAUGUUAUUCCCUUUCCCGGUUUCCAGGCCAACACUCCCCUAACCCUUCCCCCUCCCCAUCUAUAUGGGUGUUUCCCUCCCCAUCCUUCCAGCAUUACCGCCCUCCCCCAACAAUCCCUUUCACUGGGGAUCCAGCCUUGGCAGGACCAUGGGCUUCCCCUUUCACUGGUGCCCUAUUUGGCUAUUCAUUGCUAUCCAACCUAUGAGGUUGGAGCCCAGGGUCAGUCCAUGUAUAGUCUUUAGGUAGUGGCUUAGUCCCUGGAAGCUCUGGUUGCUUGGCAUUGUUGUUCAUAUGGGGUCUUAAGCCCCUUCAAGCUCUUUCAGUCCUUUUUCUGAUUCCUUCAACGGGGGUCCCGUUCUCAGUUCAGUGGUUUGCUGCUGGCAUUUGCCUAUGUAUUUGCCAUAUUCUGGCUGUGUUUCUCAGGAGAGAUAUACAUCCAGAAACCAUAGUUCUUAUAAGGCUAUGUUGGAGCAAUUGCUAGCAAAUUGAGCAAGUCCUGGAUCAUAGCCAGAGAUGUAAAGUCUUAAUCCCCACAUCUAAUCAGCAGUCCAAUCGGCCUUCUUACUAGUUGCUGUGAACUUGAUGACAAGGUUGUUGCACUCCCCUGUGGUAUUCAAAUAGUAAGUUGGCUCUAAUUAAGGUUCUCAAGUUUCUCUCUUAGGAGGCUGAGUGUUCUUUCUUAUGUAGAACCUGGCUCCAGAUGUCUGUGUAUCUUCUGUGUAUCUCGAAACCGGAUCACAAUGAUCAGUUCAUUAUGAUGGGGGGGGGGUGGGUUCCAGCUUAUUUAUCCAAAAGAUGUGAAUUUCCUUGCCACACAGGAAAGGACUCUGGACCUCCAUAUUUGGUUUUCUGGCUCUGAUACUCAGAGUGCCUCAGGAAGAUAAAGGCAUGAGACUAAGUUUUCCUUCACUCCCUGUACCGCGGGAGUUAAGAGGGUUUUCAACCUUUACCUAGAGAAGGGCUAUUUAUUUGAGGGGUUCCAUCUCCCAUCCACUAGGUCACAAAGGUCUAAAUGAAGAACAGGGAACCGGGUGCCCCUGGGGAGUCGAGUGGGAGGUCAGGUUGGCAAUCUUACACUUUUCAGCGUCAACUAUUUGCCAGGUAAGAUUCAGGGUAUCAUGGUGGCUAGUGGCUGGUGCAGCAAAGCAUAAGCAACAAGCGAGCAAGAGAACGAGCGAGCAAGCAAGCAAGCAAGCAAGCUGGAGUCGCAGGGUGUGGAGUGACCCUCCAAUGUCCUUGUGGCAGUUCUUCUAGAAGUCUCUUCCAGUGGAACCUCAACCACUGAAUCCUCUCUCUCCUGCCAGGCGUAACAUGGGAAUGGGUAAGGAGGUCCUUAUAUCGUCCUCCUUAACAGCCAUAGGUUGGGUCAGGAUCACCGUGUGGGGUCUUUUCCAGACAGGUGAAAAGUCUUGUGGUUUUGUCUCUUAAUCCAGACGCCGUCACCUUAUUCAAAGCAAUGGAGUGUAAAGGGGAGGAGCAGAUUCGUAAACAUGGCAGAUGGCAGGGCAGAGUCUCUGUUGGACCCUACGGAGGGGUUCCAAGGAUUUUAAAAUCUUAUAUUUGUCCUUUUCAGCUAGGAUACCAGACUGAAGGUUAGGCAGCAUGGAAGGCUCCUAUUUAGGCUCUCAAAGGGCAUGAUACCUAAAUUAUAGAGGGCCGAGGUAAUUCCUAGGCCUAUGAAAGGUAUAAGGUAGGAGGGACACCCAGUCAAUGCCAGUUUCAAGGAUUAAUUUGGUUAAGCGUCUUAAUUUAAAAAAAGCAUCUUUCCAGGUCGGAUUCAUCCUCUCUAUUUGCCUUGACCCUGGGGUCUCUAUGCAUAAUGUAAUUUCCAAUUGGUCCCCAGAAGCUGUGCUAGAGAUUGAAUUACCUGAGAAAUGAAUGCUGACCCACUGUCAGACCCAAGCAGGGUUGGCAAGCAAUACCUGGGCAUGAUAUCUUCCAGGAAUUCCUUUGUCACUACGUUUACAGUCUCCUUCUCUGUAGAAUAGGCUUCUACCCAUCUUGAAAAAGUAUCUAUAAAAACUAGCAAAUACUUAUAUCCAUAUAUUCUUGCUUUUAUUUCUCUAUAACACACACACACACACACACACACACACACACACACACAAACACACACACACACACAGAGUAAACAUGGCUAAUUUCCCAGUUAGUCCCUGGCUGUUGAUCCCCGAUUCUGGUUCCUGGAAUGGCUUUUUGAAUGCGACCUGAGGGGUUCACAGCUUCAUAUGUGUGAUAGUGUGAGAUUGCCUGAUCAACCAAGUGUCCUAAGCCAAAUACUUUGUACCUUGCCACUCCUUGCCACACAGCAAUUCUUUCAGUGUUCAGUGACCUAGAUAUGAAGUUUGAGGAAUCUAUUGGAUGAGUUGCUUAGCAAACUUAUGUAGGGUGGUGAGGCAUUCAGAAGUCAACAACGAUCCAUCUCUUCUGUAAACUCCUUGGCAUUUAACUUCCCUUAUCCCAGCCUUCAUUUUUUUUCCUGAAAAUAUCCCCUACCUCCCCCCAUCCCUGAAGUUUCAGAUUUCCAUUCAUUUUCAUGGUCAUCUGUCUGGCCAUGUGCCUCCUGUCCGUAGCCACACCCGAUCCCAAAUGCCCCCUCCUCAUCUCCCUAUCCCCUCUUCCAUCCAGUUCCCUCUCUCCAUCUGCCUUUCACAACCAUUCCAUUCCUCCUACCAAGUUAAAUGUAAGCAUUCUUUCUUGUGCCUUCCUUCCUGUCCGGAAUCCUUGGGUCUGUGGAGUAUAGCAUGGGCAUCCUAUAUCUCAAAGCGAAAAUGGCCUAGAAUCACUUAAAACAAUGUUCAAAGUCCUUAGUCAGUAGGGAAACGCAAAUCAAAACAACUCUGAGAUUCCUUCUUACAGCGGUCAGAAUGGCUAAGAUUAAACAUUCAAGUGAGAGACAUGGUGAUGAGAAACACAGGGGAGCACAGGCUGAAGGGGAACACUCUUGCAUCGCUGGUGGGAGUACAAACUGGCCACUUUAGAAAUCAAUUUGACCUCUUUUCCCAGAAAACUUGGAAUAGUUCUACCUCAAUACCCAGCUAUAUCACUCCUAGGCAUAACCCAAAAGAUGAUCCAACAUCCCACAAAGACACUUGUUCAACUAUGUUCAUAGCAGCUUUAUUCAUAAUGACCAAAAGCUGAAAACAAUCCAGAUGUCCCUUAACUGAAUAAUGGAUUUAAAAAUAAAAUGGUACAUCUACAUAAUGGAAUACUAUUCAGCUACGAAGAACAAAGACAUCAUGGAUUCUGCAGGCUAAGGGAGAAUCUAGAGAAUAUCAUCCUGAGUGAGGUAAUCCAGUCCCAGAAAAACGCAUGAUAUGCAUUCACUUACAAGUGGAGUUUAGCCACAAAAUACAGGAUAUCUUUCUUUUUAAUUCCGUUCAUUUUAACGAAAAGACAAGAGUAGAUUCUUCUUUAUGGCUGAAUAGUACCACUUCAUAAUUAGAUAUUACAUAUUUAUACAUUCAUUCCCGUACCUAUACCCAAGUUAAUUCCUUAUCAUCUAUUCCUAAGCAAAUUCUACUGAUUGUUAUUGAAAAAACAGGUGUGCAGGAAUGGCUUUGACAAGCUAAUUCUAUUUCCUUUGUAGAUAAUUUAUAGAGAAAUUACUAUCUCACACAGUACAUAUCACUGAGAUUUAUCCAUAAAUGAAAAUUAGCAAUGGUGAGAGUUUUAAUAAUAUACUUAAUAUAUAUAUAUAUACAUAUGUGUGUAUAUAAUAUGUUAAUCCUACACACAUUAAUAUACUUGGAAGAGAAUGCAGUUCUUAAGAAUGAGAAGUUCUUUUAUUAUAUUAUUUAUCUAUUUAUUUCAUUCGGAUAGGUGUUUUGCCUCAAGGUGUAUUAUAUAUCCAGAUUAUCUAGGAAUAUAUGUGAGCCUGGUACCCAAAAUGUCUAGGAAAUGGGGUCCCCUAGGACUCGAUAUACUGAUGGUUGUGAGCUGUCAUCUGGGUGCUAAAAUUCAAACAUGAUUCUUCUGGAAGGGCAAACAGUGCUCUUAAAUCUAGAGUCAUCCCUAGAGCUGCAAAUGCACAGUCCUUUGUUUGCCACUAUAUUAAACAUUUCCCAUGGUACUCAACACGGUAAGUCUCAAAAGAAAUAUGGAAUGAUAUGGAAAAUAUUCAUUUGACACAGUCUAAAGUGUUAUGUGAUUUUACACGCUCUUCUGAAAUUUCUAUGCACAUACCUUCAACAAUUAUUCUUCCAACACCAUCAUCACCAUCAAUUUGAGUAACAGAAUUUCUACCUAGCUAAAUGGUGUUCAACUAAAGCGUAAUCAACUAAAACUAAAAUGCUUACUUUGUCUUUACCAUACUGAUAUUUAAUUCAUUUUAUAAGGCUAGUACAUGUGUACUAUAUUUGUAUGUGCUUAGCAUUAUUCAUACACAUUCACACACAUAUUAUAAAAUAUAUAUAUAUAAAUUAAUAUAUACAUAUUUAUCAUUUAGACAUUCUAUUACUUGCCUUCUAACUGAAAUUACCUUUUUGAGUUUGUAUUUGUAGCAAUGCUAUUUUAAAAGAUAAUUAAGUAUAAGAAGUAGUAAAAUUUGAACAGCAUAAAAUUCCUUUGAGCUCACCUAAUCUAUAAGCUUCUAUUUUGUCUUUUUCCUUUACAUUUGGUUUUAGACUUUUGGGUUUGACAUAUCCAUCAGAAUAAAAGUAAACAGCAAUGAAGAGGAAAAUGUCCUCCAACCCAUAAUUCCGUUUGUUGUUCUUUAAGUGAACUCUUGCCAUGUGACAUUUGAGAAUGGCAUCCUUGAUGCCUAAGUCUAAAAAUUUCUCUGUUCUCAUAUUGGGAUUUUGUUGAUCGAAAGCAAAUUCUGGAACUCCAGAGUCAAACCCAUGGCUUAACUGAAAGAAGUCGUUUGUGUAAAGUCAGGAAGACAGCUAUUGCUUUGCUAUCUGUGGGUUAUCUUUGUCUAUAUUAUACGAAAUAAAGCACUAACACUUAAUGUUAUUUUUAUGCAAAUUAUGGUUAAAUCAUCUAUUGCCCAUAUAAAAAAAUUAGGCACUCUGACACAUAAUCUUUGAUACUUAUUCAAGAGAUGGGGAGACAGUGGGAUACCUGGAUUUUGCUGGCCAGCCAAACUAGCAGAAUUGGUGAUCUUGUGGUUCACCGAGAAACUGUUUUUCAAAAGUAAGACAUAGAGAAGUUGGGGGAAAUGAACAUCAACCACUGCAUUACAUGUAUACUGUGCACGCAAGCGCGCGCGCACACACACACACACACACACACACACACACAUACAUGCAUACACACACGGACAUCUAUCUAUACAGGAAGACACACACAUUCCUUUUGUGGACAUAGUCAUAGUUAUAAGAGUAUUACUUUGAAUAGAUAUUACUACUCUGUGCUUUUCUUGACUAUUGUAAACUCAUACGACAAACUGCUGCUCUUUAAGGAAUAUCUACUUACUAGUCAAGGGCCUGGGUUGUAACCCUUCUUAUUAUGACUAAGGCUAGCCAUGUCUCCUGAUUCUUUUUGUCCUCAGAUUAAUUUCACUAAGACUAUAUAACUUUUGUGAUACAAUUGCUAACACAUAGUUCAAUCUGAUAUUAGUUUGGGAAAAAAGAGAAGGGUAAUGUCUAAGCAUCAAUUAUGGUGUAUUGACUGGAUACAUUUUAGGGAAGUGAGACAUUUAAUUAAAAAUUAUAUCCAAUUAUACAAAUGAAGUAGGAAUGUGUAAAAUGGAGAAGAAGUCAUGUGGAAUGUGGCUGAUUUGUGAAUGCUACUAUUGUCAGACUUCCCUGGUUCUAAUUUACUUAUUCUCAAUAAGUGGAAAGAAAAAGUCAAUUGAAAAUAUGAAAUUCUUGAUACAAAGGGCCAAUUUGUGGCUUUUAUGUGUGAAGAGAAAAGAAAAAUUCAAAAGCAAAGGAUAUAUUUGAAUUAUGUUGAGGUAUGAAAGUGACAAACAAUAUCAGGAGGCAAAUCACUGGAUAUACACAACUUCAAAGGAAAUCCUACAUAAAUAAUCUCACACAGCCUUGGGGAUUUGAAAACAUCUUUUUUUGGCUUGCAUUUGGUCUUGCUCCUAAUUGUACUAUUAAGAACUUAAUUGCUUGUGAUAUGAGGCCAUGUUCACUAUUAAAUACAGGACAAAUACUUAAUUGUUGGUACAAGGAUAUAAUUGUAGCUCACUGAGGAAUCAUUGACAUUGUGCUCCAAGCUGCUGGCUUCAUAACUAAUGUGCAUAAUCCCGCAUCAAGUACCACAAGGAAUGUACUCAUGCAAGGUAAUGGAUAGACUAUUUGUUUAUCCCACCAUUACUGUUUUAAAAUGCAUGGCACUGAAAAGCUUGCAAGUGCUAGCCAUUCUUGAAGUAAUUAAUCGUCCUGAUGACUUGGCAUGUGAAACAGGAAGUGAAAAUAAAUACAGUAGUUCAAAAUAACAUUCCACAAAAUAAUUAGCCAACAGAAAUAUUCCAGGGUCUCUGAGGAGUCAGAAAUGAAAAGGAGAAAAUGAGAUAAGAGGUAUGGAGUAUUAUUUACAGAGAGAGUAGACAUAGACUGAAAUAGUUUGAAUUAAACAAAAUUUACUUAGUUGUAGUUGAUAUAAGGUGUUCAAACAUGAUUGCAUUUGCUUGGUAAACGAAGACUUGUGUUUUGGAUAUAUGUUCAGCGUAAGUAACUAACUCAACAACAACUUAGUUGGAGGAAUAAAUGAAAACAUUACAGUAUUUCAAAUUGCUAACUAAAUGUUACAAUAGAAAGAAGAACAUUUAACAUUGUCUCAGUCAGGAACGAUUUUAAACCAUUUAAACAAUAAGCCAUGUAAUCUCUUCAGUGGAUGCAAACAACUGAGCAUCAUCCUGGAUUUAUAGAAGAGGAAGAUGAGUCAGGGAGCUGAGGAGUAAUGGCUGAGGAGUAACUUCCCCCAGGGAAAUUCAAUAUGUCAGACACAUCAUCAAUCUGAUUUUACAUUCUGUUUCCUUAACCACAAACAAAAACUCCUCCACCAUGGCACCAAUCCAAAGAUGGCACUCUGUGUGACACAGACUUUGGUGCUGAGACAGGCAGUGCAGCCAUCAGAGUGGGAAGAGUGGCAAGGACAACCUCAAAGUAAGCAGACCUAUGUUUUCAGAAUGGACUGUUUCAAAAAGGAAAGUCUCUCUCACCGAUCGCCAGUGAGUCAGGGAUGUGUUCAGAAAGAAAGUAUGGAUGAAAUGUCUAUUUUCAAGGUAUAUUAUUCCAAUAUUACCUGAGUAAGACUCCAACCUCUCAAUCAGGUAUGAAAAGAGCAUCUCUACUGACCACAUUAUAAUAGACGAAAGUACUUAGGAGGUCUCAGUGCUUUAUCUUACAAAGUUUUCUCCAAGCAGACAAGUAUCAUGUCCCCAUAGAGUUUCUCCAAGUGCCACUGUCUCAAUGACUUCCUGUAACAUAGCUGGAUAAUUUUUUUUUAAAGCUAGGUUUUCAGGACCAAAAUAGACUGGAAGUCAGAACACCAUCAGUGAAAGACUAACUGCCCUUGUUUGCCAACAGAUUUUGGAAUUUCAUUUUACUUUUUAAUCAUGAUUACUGUUGUUUAAAGAGAAUAAUGAGCAACUCUUAACAUCUUAUAACCUAUAUUUGAUAUUUAUAAGAAUUGAAUUUUCCCAUAUAUUUAAGUCAUUCUUUAGUUUUGCUUUUCUCCUUUCUUCUAUUCUCCCUUCCUCCAUCUUGUAUUUUAAUUUCCAGUUAUUUUGAGCAUAUCUUUAUAUGGUUAGAGAUUGUUCCUCUUUCAGUUGAUUCAGGUAUCUCUGAACUCUGGACUAUGCAGAUACUGGCAUCCAUAUGCACUUAUUCACGUACAGAUGCACCCAUAAACACAAUGUAAAAUAACAAACUCUUUUUAAGAAGACAUUUUAAAAGAGGCAGUAAAUAUAUAUAUAAUGAUUGCUUAAACCCAUACUAAGUAUGUCUAUGACAAUAUCAUACAUUGAUGUGUGCACCUUAUAUAACAUAUUUUAUUGCACUUACCCUCUUUACCCCCAUCCCCCAUCUUCACAUCACCAUCAAUUCUCUGCUUUUCAGAACCAUCUAUCUUCUUUCACGUUUAUUUCUUUUGUUUAGUUUUACUUUGUCUGAUGUCUCAAUGGCUUUCAAUGGAGCUUCCUACCACAGAAUGAAUCAUGGAAUAGUUGCAGAAGGGAGCAUGGACUAAGGGCACCUCACACAUGGUUAUACUACUGUAGAAAAUGUUUCUUUAUAUACCACCAGACACGGCCUUCAUAUAAAUCCCAAGUAUUGAUGAGACGAAUGACCACACUUUUGCAAGUUUUAUCAACUACUGAGAGUUUAAGGGUCCAGAAUCUGUAUGCUUUCUACAAGGUAGCAUUCCAGAACCCAACCCCUUCUUCUGGUUCUUACAAUAUUUCAAUUCUCUUUCCUAUUAGUCUUCUUAUAUCUGGCUAGGUGCAAUAUAGAAAUGCAUUGUUUCUGAGGACCAGUGGGAUGACUCUUGCUGUGUAAACCCAUUAAGCUGAGUUCAAUCGCCUGAAAUGUUCGUUCUUGUGGAGGGAAUAAAACUCUAUCGUAAAUAUGUCCUCUCACCUCAUAAUAAAUCCAGUGUCAUGAUUACUCCUAUGCAUAUGGACCUGCAUACAAUACACUAAUGAUAGUAAUUAUCAUUUCUAUUGUAACUUCAGGAAGCUUUUAUUUGAAAAAAAGAUUUUUCUUUUAUUAAGUAUAAGUCUCUCUAGGUUUACCAUAAUUUACGCUGAUAUAUUCAUUAGUUAACUUUUCUAUGAUGGGUGAAUGAAACCUGAUCAGUCUUCCUAUAAAAUGUAAAAUACUCCCCAUAGCUGACAUCAUAUAAAAUUUAAAACAUUACUAUACACUUUUUUUUAAAUGUAGCUUCCUUAAAGGCGAAAAACCCUAUGAUUUUUUACUUACUCUAUAGUUGUUGACAGAUGUAGAAGAGUAAGAAUGGAAAGUGUAGAUGCUCAAAAUAGACAGAUGUUAGGUUGUAGACAGACAGAUAGAUGAUAGAUAGAUAGAUAACUAAUAGAUAGAUAGAUGAUAGAUAGGUAGAUAAUAGAUAGAUAGAUUAAACUGAUGAUAUAUACACAUGUAGUCCAAUAAGCAUGACCAUGUACCUCACCACACAGACAUGAUUUUAAGUUGCUUACUGUGAAAAUAAGAAUCUUUUAAUUUUUCAUAGAUAGUUAAUUUUAGACAGUUAUUACAAUUCCUUUUUUCCAUCUUUUUUUAUUUACAAAGAAAAACUAAUCUCCUUUACACUCAUGUUCACUACCUGUUAUGCUUGGUAGUUAGUUGCCAGUGUAAGUGUUAUCUACGAUGAGAAUACCACGUUAUGAAAUCUCUAUGUACUUUGAAAGUUAUUACCAGUUAAUUAAUAAGUGUGCCCUUAACGUUGGAGCUUAUGUGUUUCUCGAGGUCUACCACCUUGGAAAUAAACACACUUUUACUGGGUAAGUGGCUUUGAUGACAUUGUUCUUUGGUGUACUAGAUUCAUCGUGGAGUAUCUAUUCUUGCAGACAGAAUGUGUCAUUAAUUAGUUUUCAUUUGUUAUUUUUUGUUUCAGUGGUUAGUUAACAUAGAAUUAUUGUAACUUGCAAGACUUAAAAAUGAGGUUGAGAUGAGACCUAGUGAAGGUGUUUAUGCCUAAUAAACAAAGUCAAAUAUAACAUAUUUGUCAUAUGUUAGCUAGACUUUCCCUCUAAAUUAUAAACACAAAAUCUCCUUGAGAUUUAUAAACAGAUGUAUGAAUACCUGUAACUUAUUAUCUUCACAGUAUUUUGAUUUUUUACAUAAAAAUUAUUCUAGUAAGCCUAUCGUUAUCAGGGAAAUAUAUAUAUAUAUAUAUAUAUAUAUAUAUAUAUAUAUAUUAGUCUAAGUUGUUGUAGGGUCAUCGAAAAAGUGGUGAGAACAAAUUUUUAUACUAUUUUUAAUGAGGCGGAAUUUUCACUUCAUUAAUAAAGCAUUCAGAAGGACUGAGUUCCAGGAUUGCCCUUAGUUUGACCUCCUCACCUUUUCUUUGUAACCAUCUAUCUAAUUUGUUGUAUUAAUUUGUGUAUGUUUCAUGUGUUCUCCAGAGAAACUCAUUUAAUUUGAUCAUGACCUUAUUAUUCAAAGCUUAAACGUGAAACAUAACCUUUUCUCCUCUGCAGUGUCGCAGAAGGCUGUAUCUUAGUCUUGCAACCGAUCAAUGACUGUCAUUCAGAAUGAGGCUUUCACCAGCUCUGAGUGGCACCUGGUGGUUAUUUAUAGCAUGACCAGCAAAGCCAUCUAUCUUUCUUGACAGCUUGCUCUGUUACUAGCCUAGUGUCAUGUUUCCUUCUAACACUACUUGCAAAGCAUCUAACCAUGUAUUCAUCACUGUUUUAUUUUGUCUAUUUAUAAACAAGUAUUGCCUGGAUAAUUACUGAAGACUUACUUAAUGGCAACUAUAUAAAGAUGGACAACAUUUCCUUAGCUGUUAAUUUCAAAAAAUAAAUGUAUGCUGCUAUAGAUGAAAAAGCCCAUAGAUUCUUUAAAGACUUUACUAUAUUCUGAGAGACUUUGACCAUAAAUGUAUAUGAUUGAAUAAGAAGACAGCUACUACUGCAUAUUUUUUAAAAAGUGAUAUAAAACUAGAUAAGAGAGCGUAAGAAAUUCUGCCCUCAGUGUGAUUUUGAAAGGAGCUUCACAUGCACAGUCUUUUCUUUAUACUCUGUUAUUUCAUUAAUCUAUAUUAGAUCAUAUAUGUCAAUUAGAAAAUCCACACUUGGGGCCAGGAAAAUCCAUGUGCAUAUGAGUUAAGUCUUGGAUAUAUAAGCGAUUCAUUAUGAUCUUGGGGUGUAGAGGGAAGGUUGGUAGAUGCUGGUAUACACUCUGACCAUAUAAAAUCAGCUUAACGCACAGAAAUUGCUGUAUUGUGUGGAAAGCAUAGAUGGCUUUAGGAGGAGAAACCAGAAAAUAAACAACUAUCAUGAAAAUACGAUAAAAAUAUUUUAUAAUAUAAUCAUGACACAAAUAAAGAAUUAAGAAUGAAACAAAAAGAAUUGUAUUUUCAUGAAAUGGCACUUAGAAUAAAAAUCUUACGUAUUUAGAAAUUAAGGAAAUCAUUAAUAACAAUACCAACUUGUAAAUAACUCCCAAACUCGUUGUGGUUCUGGGCAUCUUUAAGGAUAGAGCAGUUAAAGGAGACACUCAUACUUCAAUCACUGGACCUUGAUACCUACAAGCAAUCUCCCAUAUGUUUUUGCUUUCUCUGUGUGUUUUCUAUUAAACGUAGGUUUUUAUAAAAUAUUCAUUCACUAAACAUAUGUGUUCUCUCUCUCUCUCUCUCUCUCUCUCUCUCUCUCUUGGUGUGUGUGUGUGUGUGUGUGUGUGUGUGUGUGUGUGUGUGUUUGUCCCUGUCUUCCUUUUUACAAAUCUGUUCAUUUCCAUGCAGGAUUUAUCUUUAAAGCCAGGUUCUCAUUAACUCUUGUAUAGUGCUGUUAACCAAAUAAUCCUUACAAAGUGUCUAAGAAAAAAAUAUAUGGAGUCAUCAAACAAAAUCCAUAUAUUUGAGUCUCGGUCAAGUUUAUUUUUCUUAAACAGAACAUGAACAAAAAGGCGUAAGGAAGGUCUGUUUUCUAGGACUCAGUAAGUAUUUAAUGAGGUUUAGUUUCAGGUUUAAGUAGCUGCUGAAAAGAAGCUAAGAGGAAAUCUGUAAAAUUGACGCCACAAAGUGGGAGAAUAUCUCUUUCCUACUCAUGAAGAUAAUUAGCCUGAAGAAUCUGUAGGCUACCUUAAGAGACAAGCUGUGGCUCUUUAGAGUCUACCCUGAAGCAGGAACCCACAUGCAGGGCAAAGAAAUGUCACAGAAGGUUCUGACCAAAGAAAUAAUUUUAUUCAGACUUUACUUUUUACCUACAAGAGAAAAGCUUAGUUAGGUCAGAUGUCCUAGCUUUAUUUAUAGUUUGGUUUCUGUGAAUGUGAGUGUAUCAGUUAGUGUGUGUGUGUGUGUGUGUGUGUGUGUGUGUGUGUGUGUGUGUGUGUGAGAGAGAGAGAGAGACAGAGACAGAGACAGAGACAGAGACAGAGACAGAGACAGAGACAGAGAGAGUUUGAAGCUCUUCUAAGCUUUAUGUGUGUUGGUUUAUUUGUUAAGUAGCAGUCGAGCAAGUUAGAGAUUUAGAGAUUGACAAAUAUAUUUAAGACACUAUCUAUGACUACUUCACUUGUUAAAAUCAAUUUAAACUCUCAGGUUGGCUAGAUAAAACUGAAAACAAAACCAUGUAGCGCAGGAGUAACCUAAAUGUAAACGUUGAAAGAUUCUGCUAAACCUAAUACACUUCAUCUUAAAGAUUAUUUCACAUUUUUGUGGCGUUGGUAAGGUAGUUGUCAAGUAACCACCUGGUGACAACCUGGAAGAUAGAUAGCUACAAGAAGAAACAUUGAAAAUGUCAUCAAAUAGAGCCUUCCAGUAAGACAGCACUUAGCACUUUCGCCUACUGAGAAAGCAACCAUAGGAGCUGGAUGAAAACUACUCUCUUGAGCCCUUUGAUGAAAGACUAAGACUGAAAGUUUCAGGAGCGUUAAUAGCAACAGAUGUUCUUUUGCAAAGAACAAGUAAAUUGUGGCCUUGUUGUAUCAAUCACACACACUUCUCUUUAGAAGUACAUGAUCCAUCUCAUAGAUUGAACUAUCAUAAAAUUCACACAUUAAAUUCUCCCUGAUAAAUGUACACAUACAUUUAUAUACAUAUAUGUGUGUGUAUGUGUUUCCAUAAAUUAGUUCUCUAUCUAUAUUGUAUUGAUUUUAUUAUAAGAAUUUUAUACAAUUAUCAAAUAUGCAACUUCUUUUCAAUGACAAUUACUGAAACUUUCAAAAUAUUCUCCAGGUACUCUGUUUGAUAUUUAUAUAGGUGUCACACGAUUAUCCCUCAUGAUUUAUCACUGUGCUUAAUCAUGUAUUUAUUCAUGCUUAGUGGUAUCUCUGGCAUUUGUUUUCCAAGGGAAAUCAUUUGAUUCUCAGUUAUCAAUUAAUGGGUUGAAACUUAAUUAGAAAAUCAGGUUGAUUAGGACAGAUUUCAUCAUGUGAGGCUUGAGAUGCUGAAUCUCUCUCUCUUGGAGAAAGACUGUCCCUGAUUGAACAUCUCUCUAGGUAUUAGCUAUUAUCUUGAUUCUUCCUUUUUUAUGUUGUGUAUGGUUUAUUAGAUAUGUGAAAUAAGUGGUGAACUAAACCUUAUUUCAUCUUUGUGAGAAACAGAUACUCAUUUUCAAAUUUUUGAUCUAUAACUCUAAUAUAAUGUGUAUUGAUGAUGACAUAAUAUUAGAUGACAUGAGUCUACUGAGAAAGUUCCAGUAUCAAUGUCAAAAGAUAGAAUACUCUAGUUCAUUGCCUAGUAUGACAAACAUGUCUGUCUUUGAUAAAACCUUUAACUAGGCGAUUUCAAACCAAGAACUGCAGGGAAGAGAGUCCCUGGGAAACAGUUUUUACUUAAACCAAACAACUGUUCUUUUUUAUUUUUUUCACUUCCAGGCGUUCUUUUUUAAAAAAAAUGGUUAUCUUAUGUAUUUACAUUUCAAAUGCUAUCCCCUUUCCAGGUUCUCCCUCUCUCAUCCACCCUCCCUCUGCUUCUAUGAGGACGCUACCCCUCCCUCCCCCCUCUUCCACCUCUUCACCCUGGCAUUCCGCUACUCAAUAAAAUUCUCACAAACUGUUUCCUCCACUUUAAAUUUGACUUUCUUUUUUAUCUGAGGAAUGCUUGCCACUGAUGCUCAGUGUCAGUACUUGGUUAUAGUAUAACUCAGCCCUUACAUCAUCACGGUUUAAAACAGUAAGCUCAUGGGAAACUCUUGGCCAUUGUGGCUCUACAUCGGCUCUGCUUUGCUUCUGUUUCACACCUCUCACCUGUUUGAUAGAGCUCUCAUACUGACAUCCCCACAGCAUGGAGAAGCAUUCCGGAGUCUCUCCUGGAAGGGACACCUUUGUUUUUCGUAGAGGGCUCCUUAGUGCGCUGCUUUAUUUUAUUAUGGGUUUCAUUAUUCACUCUUUUCCUUUUUAAUAAAUCAAACCGAACAACUUCCCAUUUGAACUCAAAAGAGGCUAGUGAUAAUAUAAAUGGUGUGUUCCUGGAAUUCACUAAAACGAUCGCAGAUUUUUGUCUUCAAGCCAUAUCUCAUCAUUCAGAGGUGAAUAGUUCUUUUAAUUAUUUUUUUAAAACAUUACUACAUAGUUUAUUAGUAAGAUCUUUCAUUUGGACCAUUUGUAAAUUGAAAUUAUUUAUUAUUCCUCAUUUUUGAUUCAUGAAACAAAUCUACAGUACAUACUUUUAUAGAGUACUACAUAUUUACAUAACUUUUAAGGAUAUUUAAACAUGAAUUUUCAUAUUAUAGUAUAUUAUAUGUAGAUAUAUCUUUUGCUUUUUACGUACUUUGAACUAUUAUAAUUUUUUUAUAAGAGAAGCCACUUUGCUUCUUUUGCAUGUGGUCCCAACAUUUUAUAAAAUGGAAAUUGACAAAAUUUGGGGAAAAUGACAAAAAUGUAUAUUAGCAUAUCAACUUGUUAAGGGUGCAGCAAUCAUUUCAUAGGCCUAAUUAAUAUAUAAGGCAAAAUGUCCAUAAGGGCAAAAUAAUAUUAUAUAUACUAUAUAUAUUAUACAUAUAAUUUGAUAAUUAUUAUAUAAUAUAAAUAUAAUAAUUAUAUAUAAAAUUAUAUACAUAUAAUUUUAAAACUUAUAUAGUAUGUACCUAGGCAAAAUUCUGACUGCAUGUCAUAUAUGCACAAAUGUGCAAACAUAUGAACUGAGUGUGGGUAUAUAUUGCACUCAUUGUGAACUUAGUUCAUACAUUUUGACAUCCUAUAAUCAUUCUCUAAAUAUUUCAGUUAAAUUUUUCCUCCAAUAUGCGAAGUCCAAAACUCAGGGUUGAUAAGGAUGAAUUACGACUCUUCUGCUUGUUAUAUGUCCACGGUAAAGGCACAGUAAAACUUGUGAAAGGUAAUCAUUUACUUUUAGCAGAUCAAUAUAUUAUUUUAUAAUUGGUACAUUUUCUAAUUUCAAGAACUGUCUUUACUUCAUGAGACAACUGCAAAAUUAGAUUCUUCAUCCUUUAAGGCUAAAGUUUACAGACAGUAGCAGGUGAUGCAAUUAUUAACCCUACAAUUAACACUAUAGUUUGAUCCUUUAUCGUUGGAAAUACUUUAAUGGCAGGAUAUUGUGUUUAGAAAUCAACAAGAGAAAAGUCGGGGCAGCCUGGGGUGAGUGCGGAACCAGAAAAUGAAAGUAGCUUCAAGUUCUCCCCAAGCCAUAAUUCAACUUUUCAAGAACACUGUUUAACUGUCACGACUGGAUACCUUCAAAUCCAUCAUCUGCCUUUCUAUUUCACUUUCCGGCAGAAUGGAUUUUUUUUCCAAGUGACAGAGAUCAGUGUUUCAAAAUUGAUUUUGUGACCACGUAAACAGCACAAAUUGCAGACACAUUUCACACACAGUGCAAUGGCGGAUCUAUGAAGGUUGCAUGUAUGUAUCUAGGAAUCCUUUAGUCAAUGUGUAGCCAAUACUUUGAACUUUCUUUCACAAAACAGUAGUGAACUUAUGCCAUUCUAUGUGAUUUUACCAACAACUAAAAGUAACAGAAUCUUUCACUUAACAGCUCCACAGAAAAGGAAACAGAGUUAAGAGAAUCCAAGGACAAUACCAGGAACAGAGUUUGGAUCUAAAGACACAUGUUAAUAGAUCCUUCACCCUUGAAGAUUGUCUCCGUGGCCAGACCUAGUUGUGCAUUAAGAAAAUGGUGUCCUCUCACUAUAUGACUAUUGGCAAGUGACUUUCACAAUGUCAGUGUCAGAAAACCUAUUUAAAUAAUUGAAUUUUAUCACAAAUCCUGCUUAAAUCGCAUGUGCAAAUACUGUAGAGAAAUAGGAAUUUACGUUUCUGUCUCCAACAUAGGGUAUAUUAUGAAGAUAAAAUAUUACCUGAUACUUCUAAUUCUCUCCAUACAAUACAUAAACCAAAGCCAAAUUCAUUCAAAUGAAGGGGGUGUUUAUGAGUACCAUGACUGUUUUCUGGUUACAUGUAUACACAAACAUGAAUAUACACAAGUUAUUCAGAUUUCUAGUGCUUAAAUCUAUGCUAUGGGCUUUCUAAACUACUCAGAUAAAUAGUAUGAAAUCACCCCAACACACACACACACACACACACACACACACACACACACACUUCAGACUAUUGGUUUUGAUGAGGGUUUAGAAGCAAUAAAGAAAUUUAACUUUAUAGAUUUUCCUCUUCCAUUUUUCCUACUUUUAUAAUUGAUUGUAUAGAUAUACUCUUCUUUUUUUGACUCUAGUUUAUUCAAUCCUACAAUUCCUUUGCUGGUAUCUAAUUAUUCCUGUAAGAAAAAUUUCAAAUGAAGCCAACAGACACUGUUCUGUAAAGUUUCCCCAUUAAGAGAAUUCAAGGAACAGUUUCAAAAUAGAUACACAGACACAGCUGCACACUUCUCUAUGUUUCAGAUGAAUUAAUGGCUUUAAAUAAAUCACUGAUUCUAUAGAUUUACCACAUGAGUUUCAAAUAAUAAUUUUUCUAUCACCAGUCAUGUUGAUUACAUUACCCUUAAAAUCGUAGAGAACCUCUAUACUAUCCAGGAAUUCUACCUGAACUAAGCGUCUGGAAGAUAAUGAGCACUGGCAUUCAGGGGAGUCAGAAGCAAAGAGUCAGAAGGGAAGUGUCCUUAGAUAAAUAACAUGGGCCAUCCUUUCGCAUUUUAUUUUAUUUUUAUUUUCGCCAUAAACUGUUAACUUCAUUUUACAUUAUUGAUCUCAAGAUGUUGGCCGUUUUGGUUGUUAGUGGUUAUGUUUGAUGUUGUGUUUGAAUUACAGUAUUUCUCCCUUUCCUUUCUGCCCUUCAUAUCCUUCCAUAAACUCUUGCCCUGUAGGCCAUCAAAUUCAUGAGCCCUUUUUAACAAUUGUUAUCACAAGCCUAUAUGUAUUUGUAUAUGCAUCUAUAUUGGCUGCAGUUUGAAAUUAACUUUGUUCAGUAUUAAGAAAGUUAUUUAGUCUAAAAUCUCCAGUUACUGCAAUAUACUCAAGAGUAGACAGAAGUAGUCUAAUAUAUAAUGGAUUAAAAGAUAAGGAGAAAAAAUAAAUAAUUUCGAUUAUGAUGAUACUGUCAAAGUGCCAUUCCUUUGUCCAUCUCUGGUGUUUCUAGCCCAUAACUCUUUUAAGAAAUUGCAUUUUCUGCAUUCAGAACCUGCUGGAGUGGAGGCUCUAAUGUGUCAGUCACCCUGUGAUAAGCCAUGGUUUUCCUCUAAGGCCAUUAUGAGAAUUGGAAUGUACGUUAUCAUUCACUUUACUACAAGUAUUUCAUAAACUCAGUAUUUCAAUACAACUCACUCCUGAGUAGUAAAACAUGAGGGGAAUUGUACCCCAAAGAGACCUGCGAGUCUGUGCUUUCUCUGCAUGGUGGAUAUUGUGCACUGGUAUAAGGAGUAUAGGAUUUGAACACAAACUAUCAAAAAUAAAAAGGAAAAGUUUAAACUACAAAAAGAAUCUAGCACACUGUUCAAGGAUCAUUCUGCAUUUGUUUAUCUCUAGUCAAGUGUGGUAUUAAUAUCAUUGCUGCCUUGGAUAUAGCUUGACCUUCAUUACUGCUUGUAGCCAUGUACAUUACAAGGCAAUAAAUUCUCCCUUUAUCUGCAAGUAGAUAAACGUGGUCAAGCCAUAGAAUUUCUAGCUUCUUGUUAGCAAAAUGGGUUCUUUAACACAAUAGCUUUGUGGUUCUGUUUUGUUUUACUUGUUCGUGUGUAUAUGUUCCUCAGAAUGACUUGUGAUUUUGAUACAAUAUUUUGUGAACUGUCUUUGCUAAUAGCUUUCGCUUUGGAUAUCGUUCAAACCUUAUACAGAAGAAAAGAUUUUCAGAUUUCGCUUAAUUUGGGAGAUCGAGUAGGAGGAGGCGGAUUAUGAUUGUCAAUUACUCUUUCAGAGACAGAACAUUUGUAAUUAGAUAUGCAAUUAACUUUGAAUAAUUGAACACUGAACUGUGCUGUUGAAAUGGAUUUAACAACACAGAUGUUUUAAAUGAUAAUAUAUAGUUACUCAUAAUAACCCUUCUGUAAAAUCGCAUAAUCAUGUAAGGUCAUCAUAGAAAGAAUUAUGAAUUUAUGCAAAGUAAGCUAAGUUUUUAUAACUUAAGACAAUAAGUAGACAAAGUGAUUUUAUCACUGAAUAUAAGCCUUGAAAUUAGUUUUUCAUACAUUUAUAGUAUGAUACUUAUAAAAUAUACAUGGAAGUAUGCCAUAUGAUUUUUACUAAAGAUAAUAUUUUAUAGAAAGCAUUUCGUGCUAAGCAUUAGUUACCUUUAUUUUCAUCAAUGUCAUUUGGUAGAAAUUAUAAUUAUUUUACCAUUGCUUUUCAGAUUAUAGACCAAACAGUAGAUGAGCAAAGCCAUUUAACAUGUGCUAAUAAUUUGAAAUAAUUUAAAUGUGUGAUAUUGAUUGCAUUUGUUUGCUAUGAUAUCUAAGGCUGGCUCACAGAUCAUCUUAAGUCACAGACUGGAUGUAAGCAAAAGUCAUAACCACAUCAUAGAUAGUAAACAGAUACUAUGAUUAAAGAAUGCUUUCUAUGUGGUUGGCGAGAUCGCUAAGGGGCUCUUACAGGGACCAGAGUACAACUUCUGCAACCACAUGGCUGUUAACAACUAUCGGUACCUAUAGUUUGAGAGGAUUUUUCACAUUUUUCCGGCCUCUGUGGACAUAUAUCCACUUGACAUAUGCAGAUAUACAUGCAAGCACAUAAAAUAAAUACCUCGAAAUUGAAUAUCUAUAAUUAUGUACUUAAAUAUGAAUGAUCUCAUUAAAUAUUCACUGUACUCCUUUUAAUUGUGCUAUGAUUACUCAGUUGUAUAGAUGAGGUUUUAUAUACUGAUUGCCAGAGCCAUGUACUUAACAUUUUAAGCAUAUUGAUGAGAGAGCACAUGCUCUUUAUAAAAUAUUUCCUGAUAAAAUAUGCAAUAUAGAUCAUUUUCUUCACAUAUGCAUACAUGUGUACACAUGCACGCAAUAUAUGCCCACUCACAUGCACACACUGACCCGUGUAUGUAUACACUUCAUUAUUCCUUUUAUGUUAAAAGUCCCUGUGUACAUGCCUCCUGAUGGCUAAAGCAGAUUAAACAGGGCUGUUGAAUUGUUAAAUUAGAAUGAUUAAAUUAAAUUGUUGCAUUACUCAUAGUAUAAUGUUUUUUAUUGAAUAACAACUCAUGGAGAAAGGAGCAAUAAUUAGUUACUUAGUAACAUGAUAGCUGCUAAUUUAAUUCGUUAUGUCUGUAGGUUCUUUACAUUAGAAGAUGUGUUUAAUAUAGGCAUUAAGCCCCACACCUAUGUUGAACAAAUGCUUGCAGCUCUUAAGUAGAUGAAUUGGGGAUUAAAUCAAUAUCAAUAAUACAAAAUAAAUAUUAAACUUUCCUUUCUUCACAAUGACUUUGAAGAUUUUUAUCCUGAAGACAUCCAUCAUUUGUGAUGUCAAUCUUAUUUAUUGUAGUGGGCAAUUAAUGCAAACAGUAGAACUGGGAGCUGUCUGUGAGAGGUUUUCCUACAUUGGGGGCCCCUUUCCUCCUCCUGGGUUGCUUUGCUCUGCCUUGGUCUGAGGAUUUGUGCCUAGUCUCACUGUAACUGUGCCACGUUCAUUUGAUAUCUCUUGGAGGCCUUUUCUUUUUUUUAAAGGGAAAUGGAGGCGUGGAUUUGGGGUAGAGAGGAGGUAAGGUGGGAGCUGGAGGAGUAUAGGGAGGAGAAACUGCUGUCAGGAUCUAAAGUAUGAACAAAAAGACAAUAAUAAUAAAAACAUACAUUCUUGACUUUUAAGUCAAUGUAGGAAAAAAACUGUUAUCCAACUUCUAACUUAGUGGUUUUCAAAGAGUUAGCAAAUAAGUGGAUGUUAGUAAAUCCAAAUUUAUAUACAUAUAUAUAUGUAUAUAUAUCACAAAAAAUAUAUACAUUCAAGUAACUUAGUAGAGACUAAGAAUGUUAUAGUGUGUGUGUGUGUGUGUGUGUGUGUGUGUGUGUGUGUGUGUUUAUCAUAUGCACACACAAGCAUGGAAGUUAAAACCGAAGAAACUGUGAAUUUGAACUAGAGCAGUAACACAGGGUAUACAUGGGAGGGUUUGGAGCGACGGAAUGAAAGUAGAUAUUACAUCACUAUAUUCUAAUCUCUAACUAUAUCAUGAUAUACAGUUUUCAGAUAUAACGUUUAUGAUAGCAAGUGGAAAGGUAAUGAGGGUGAUAGAAAGUUGAGACGAGGUGAAACAGGAUUGAACCGAAAGCAGGAGAAAAUCCUAGUUCACUAGAAGUACAAUGAAAGGUAAGUGGUGGACACAGAAGGCAUGAGCUCCGUCAGAGAAGAGAAUUAGAGGUGAACUAAGAAGCUGGCCUUCACAGGCAGAGGAGAGAACAAUGGGGGGAAAAGUAGAGCUGCUAAUGAAAGGCACCACACUUAGGCUGCGCAAAUGCUUGCAGCUCAUUAGUGAAAGGCAGGUCCAAAGCCCCUUUGUUUAGGCACGUGGCUAUACAGCGUCUGUGAGGAUCUGAGAUUUAGUCGCUGUGGAUGAGGCCGUUUUGAGGACACACCGCUAAGUAGAACUGAGGGCAAAUAAGAAACAAAAGAAAACGUGCUGAGAAUAGCAGAAAGCACAGAGAAAUAGCCAAAGGAAAGGGGAUUGGCUCAUUCAUGAGCACUGCAAAUCUAUACCUGCAGAUAGUGGAUCCAGGAUGAACAUAUUCUCCAACCUAUAUAGCAAGUGAGCAUGCACGUUUUUAGAAAUUCUUUUUUUUUCAUGAAUUGAAUAGUAUAUAGUAAACUAUUAUGAUAGAAAUCCUUUUAAGGAAACAUAUAUUUUUCCCAGAAGUUACUUUCAAGUCACAGAGACAGCAGGAGCGUAAGGAAAUAAUUAACAUAGUUUGUGCCUCAACUAUGUGCCAGCAACUGUGUGUCACACAUAUGGUCUCUUUUAGCAAAACUGCCAGAUAUUUGCUAAUCUUGUAUCCAGACAGUCUGUACGACUAACAACAAAUGUGUUUCUCUAUUCUGUGGGCACUGAGUCCUUGUGCAGUAAGAUGAAGCACUGUGUUAGAGUCAAACAUCCCUUCUCUAAGCUGCUAUAGAGCGCUCACCAUUUCUAUAGAUUUGGGAAAUCCUACAAGUUUUCGAGUUUGAUUGGGUUCAUGCUUUUCUCUUUGCUGUGACAAUGUAUCCUAUGAUGUCGUUAAUUGACACAAAAGCAUGCAGAAGUACAAACACCAACACAGCUUGCUUGAGAUGGCAAUUAAACUCUUCAGGAAAAUACUGAUGAAAGUCUUAUUAGUCUAUUCAGUGCUCCCUAGUAGUAAUAACAGAAAUUUAGAUUUUAAAAUCUCAGAAAAAUUUAAACUUUAACUGAAAGCUAGCAUGUGUCACAAUGUCUAGUCUCAGAUAUUAAUGUCUAUAAGAUCAUAAACAUUGAAAGCACCACAAUAUCCAGAGCAUACUAAUCUCACUAUUUUCAACUACAAGAAUCUAAAUAAGUUUGAUGAAAUAAAUUCAUGUAUAUCAUAUAUUAUUUUGAGUUUAAAUGAAUAACUGAUAAUAAAAUAAGAGUACUGAUGACAGACCAUAAUAAAUACAUUUAAAUUUGGGAAUAUUUAUGCUAAAUUUUAAUUAUUAAAAUAUUUUUAUGAAUAGUAAAUGACUUUUUGUAUGGGGAUUAGAAUUGACUUUUAAGACGUAAGCAAGCAAGAAUUUGUUUACUACCAAUGAUAUAUUACAUUAUUAAUUGUAGUUCAGUUUAUGUAUGAGGCUUUGAAUUCUAACACUUCAUGGAAGUGAAGAAAGUUUUCCUGUGGUUUCAGUCUCACUCCCCUUUAGUAAUCAUAUUCUCCUUAAACUGGGUCAUCUCUCUGAGAUCAAAGAUAUCAGAGUCAGUUGCUUAAUGACCAUGUCUCUCUGUACCACAUAUUUUGCGGAAUCAUGCUUUCAGAUGUACACGAUGGUUUUCCCAUGCGGAUAGUUAAACCUUAAUGAAAUGUGAACUUGUAAGUUCAUUGAUUUAUGAUAAAAAUAAAUAGACAUUGGUUUUUAUGUGAAGGUCUUCAUGAUCAUGGCUGAAUGAAAUUAUUGUCCCAUUUAAUUUCUCAAAUACAAAUAUUUAAAACAGUAAAUUGAUUAUUUAUCUUGAUCUUUAUGUUUUUGGAUGCCUGACACAUUCUGUUGACUAAUAUGUGAGUAUCACGAUUCCUGAACUAUGGGUGUUAUGACAGUUAUUAAGGUAGCUGUUAAUGGGACUGUUUGAUUACAGCAAAUGAAUACAAUCAUUAGGCUUACAUGGCCAUAGUAGGAACCAAGCCAAAGAUAGUCCUUUUGGGAAUAGUGUCAAAAUCAAGAUUUUCGUUUUCUAUUUACAAGAUUAAAAAGUAAGCUGUACUAGUACUGAAGGAAAAGUCAUGAUGUGCAUUUAAAUAAAAAUAUUAAUAACUUUAGCUGGUGCUGUUUGCACAGAGCUGUUAGCUGGUUUUGGAUAUUUUGUAUAGGUAAGAAUGUGAAAUGAAUUGCUAAUGACAUAUCCAGAAUGAUUUUGAAGGCUCGUCUUUUGUCAUUUAUCUCAUUGUGCAUAGAAAAUUACUAGUUUUAUUGUAUCAUGAAUCCUAAUAAAUGCAUUAUUCAGGAAUUGUUGAUAGAAUUUUAAUAGAGAUAUGCAAUCUUUGUUUCUCUGAGCUUCUAUUAGUACUAUUCACUGUAAUAAUUCUAAUGUAUGUUACUAAAUUGAUUAUGUAAGAGUGUAUAUACAUUCAUGUUAAUGAAAUAGAAAAAGCAUGUAACUUACUAUGGUUAGUUCACAAAGUCAUAAUCACAUUAUACAUAUUACUAACAGCAAAAUUAAUAGAUGUUAACGUUUUAGGGUUUAUUGCCUAUCUUUAAAAACAAAUCUGUUUAUCAAGAGUUAAGAAAUAUUUUAAGUUGAAUCUAUACAUAUUUGCCCAUUAUCUCAGCUGAAUGAGAACUAGGACAGGACAGUUGGAUGUUCAAAAAUGGACAGAGUUAUCAAAAGUGCACAGAGUUACGAAUUACUUCAAAAUCAGCCUAAGCAAGUUAUUGAGCCCUUUUCCAAGGUAACAAUUUAAAAAUGUCUGGAGUUCACCACUCUCCUGCUUGCUUAGCAUGUCUGCAACCUUGGGUUCACUCCACAGUAUGCCAAAAGUAAGAAGCAAAUGAAAAAUAACUGCAGAGGAUAAAGACAACUUAGAUAAAUCGACACGAUUUGAGUCCUCACUUUACAACAACAUAUUAUUAUAAUUUUUCUAGUGAGGCUUCUAUUAUUAAAAAUAAAAGCAAGGAACAUACUUCAAAUAUAUUUAGCAUAUUAUGAAAGCUUAAUCAUUAGUUACCACAUUUGCACAGAAAUAGAGGAUUUAAAACAUCCAUAAAUGAAGCAUCAGUUAUCAGGAAAUAAUAUACUAAUAUUUCAUUGUUGGGAAAUGAGUUCAUACUUUCCUGAUUUUAUGACACCUGAAAUGAUCGCUAAAAUACAGAAUUGGAUCAGCAGUUGACCCACGUGAUAUUUCUCACAUAUGCUGAUUUUUAAGAUAAACAUGAAUAUUUUAAGCAUGAAAUAAACUUAGAAGCUUCUUUUUUAAAUAUUAUUUUAUUACAUUCAUACAUUUUUGACAUAUUCACACAUUUUAAAAUGUACUCUGACCAUGAGCAAGGACCACUUUCUGCUCUUUCGCAACCACCCCCACACUGCCCAAUACAUCUUCACCUCUUUACUUUUUAAAAAGUAUUAGUUUUCCUGUAGUAAUAAUAAUACCAAUAUAUGUAUGGCUAUACAGCUAUCCAAUGGAAGACCUCCAAGAGUCAUCUACAUGUAGUGACCAGUUUCCAAAACCUCUUUCCUACAUUUGCAGUGUGGCUUCAGGGCCCAGUGCUCCACUUCUGCUGAAACUGUGACUUCUUUCAACUCCUGCAGGUACAGUUACAAUGAGUGCAUGUGCACAGCAGCCAUAUUGAGUUUGGCAGUCAGUGUAUCAUGGCUGUCUUCCCCAUCCAUUAGCCCCAUCCACUAGUAACUUUCUAGUUAUUUGAUCCUUAGCCUAUCUAAGGAUCACCCUUGAAAUAACUCAACCUUCCAAAGCUCAGCACUCACACUUCAAAUUACUUAUACUUGGUCGGUUACGAAUCUUUAUUUUAACAACUACUUAUCAAAUUUGAGAGUAGUGCAACUAACUCUAUGGGUGUAAAAAUAAAUAUUUAGAAUGCCAUCUGGUAGCACUGACGGUUUAGCAAAACAACAAAGGUCGGUUCUCUAUUAGAGCAAAUGACCCCCCAGUUCUGAAUCUUAUACAAAAUUUUUACAACCAGGCAUAAAGGCCUCAUAUCCUAACAGAACGUUUAUGAGUUUUCCCUUAACCAGAAUCUCUUAGGUGGCCUGUAACUGGCACUGAGAUUUUCAUUCAAUGACCUGUGUCUUCUAGAAGCAGCAUUGUCCACCCAUGUGAACUUAUCAGGUCAAAUCACCUCUGUUUGAGAGAGGAAUGAAAGGGGAGAGGAGGCAGGAAGUGGGUAGCAAGAGAGGAUUAGCAUGUAAACUAGUGGGUAUCUCUAAGGCUCCUCUAGGAGUCACUCCCUUUUGGCUAAGGUAUCCCUUAGGCUUCUCUCUUCCUUAUCACCAUUGAAAUUUAGACAUCGAAUGUAUACUCUUUGACAUUUUAUCAAGUUUAUUUUUUCUUUGUUUGGAAGAUUGGAGUUUGCCUGUAUGUUUUUCAAGUACAGAUCAUCUUGUUUAAGCUCCUUGGCUCUCCUCCACCUCCCCAUCCUUUAUGCAUUCUAGGAUAGACGUUCUCCCUUAGAAUUUCCCAUCACUCCUUUCAAUUUAUCCAUAUUUCAUUAUCUAUCAGUUCCAAGUACUAUAUGGUUUUAAUUCUUGGCUCACCAAUUACUCCAAGUAAACAGUAGAACACAAAAAUUUGAAGCUAGGAUCUCAAAUGUAAAGACCAAAGAAUUUUAAUAUAGUCACCAUGAAAAUAACACAAAUAUAAGGUUUUGUAUAUGAUAACUACCAUUAGUUGAUAACUAUGAAUGUCUACACAAUUCAAGAUAAUAGAGCAUGCCUCAAAAAUAUUUACAAAUAUCAUGUCAGUUAAAAAAAUGUUAAUACGGAAGCCUCUAACGUUCACAAUGUAGGACAAGCACAAGGUGAAAAUUUUAUAAUAUAGAUUGAAUGUCCUGGUACAAGUGAACUGUUUCUGUUUUGAAUGAGUAAUAAUGUUAUGUAAAGAAAUAUAACUAAGAAAAUCUAUAAGCUGACUCAAACCUUAUCCAAGAACACUUUUGCUCAUAGUUGGAAUUCCCAGGCAGUGUAAUGGAUUUGUGAUGUAACCUUUUGAAGCUCAUUUAAAAGCACGAAAGUUCUAGGUCUUUUGGAUUGUUUCUUUUCAAAUUUGAGUAACUUUAAGCUCUGUUGCUUUUCUCUAAUGUAAGAGAGGUUGCUAAUAUAAGUGUAGUUGUAAUGGUUCUACAAAGAUAAACGUAUUAAUAACAAGUAAAAUAUUUUGCAUAGCAUCAAGCAAAUAGUUUAUUAUAUGUUGGGUACCACAUUUAUGUAAAAAUAUCAUCUUUCCUUAUCUCAGUCCUAUUACAGAAACAUAAUCCUAUAAACUAGUAAAAUUAUAAUGCUUUCAACUGGAAUUAAACAUAUACCCAACUUUUAUUUUUGCCAAUUCCUUAGAAAGUUUCUGUUGUAAUAUCUUUUUUUUAAAAAGUAGCUCUGAGGUCAGUGAAAGGGAAUUGACUGUUUGUAGCUAAAUGUGGAGAAGUCGGGAAACUGCUAAGAAUGCCGUUUUUGCUUAUUUCACAAUUGGUUCUCUUUGUUGUCAAGGUAACGAUUUAACAAUCACCUUUUCUAACUUCUCACCCCCUCCCUGAGAAAAAGGCAUGUAUAAACCGAUCAGCCUUUUAAAAUCUAAGGCAGAAAAAAAAUGGAAUUGAAAACAUGGAUUGAUUUUAUGUGUUGGACUUUUACAAAACACAUUCAACUUUGUCAGCACGGAACCAAAAGGAGAGGAAAGCUGAAGCGAACUCAAAGCACAGUCCCCAAACAUUAAAAGAUUUUAGACUACAAAGGAAAUGGGUAUUCAGUUCUUCUUCAUACAAUGAAAGAAUGGAAAUGUUAAAAUUAAUCUCAUAGGGCAGAUUGCAAUAAACUCAGAAAAGGAAUCAGAAGAAUAGAGAGAGGAAGGGGACGAAAAAGUAAAAGUGUGAAGAGGAUUAAAAGAAUGAGGAAAUGGAAGAGGGUUAAGGGAGGGCCUGAGGGAAAAUACACAAGACAACAAGACAAGAAGAGAAAACAAUUUACUCAAAUCACCACAUAAGGUGUGUGUGUGUGUGUGUGUGUGUGUGUGUGUGUGUGUGUGUGUGUUUGUGUGUGUGUUUGUGUGUGUGUUUGUGUUUGUGUGUGUGUAUGUGUGUGUGUGUGUGUGUGUGUGUGUGUGGGGUGUGAGGGCACAUGAGUGUAGGAAAGUGUCAUCUACUAGUUUUGAGAAACAGGUUUUCAAGAAGCUAGGUAUAUCAUUUUCCUGGGAUGAUUUUUAUUUUGUUAUUUUUGGGUUUUGUUUUUGUUAUUGGGUUUUGUUAUUGUUUUUGUUGUUGUUUGCUUUGGUUUACUUGGAGAUACUAACAGAACAUUAGUAUUAAGUCUACAUGCAAAGUUUCUACCCUGUUCAGAUUUUAAAGAUGUAAUCUGAGUGUCAAAUACUAUUAUUUUCUGUAGUUUAACUGAGAGUUCAAUGAAUUGAAAUUAGUAGUGUAUUGCACUAAACUUUUUUUGGCCAAUGUAAUAGCAUUUCUUUCAGUAUUUAUUUCUUUAAAAUAAACAUAUAUAUAUAUAUAUGGGAGAGAGAAACAGAGAGAGAGAGAGAGAGAGAGAGAGAGAGAGAGAGAGAGAGAGAGAAAUUAGUGAGAGAACCUGGUAUUCUGUGGUUUCUUUCAAAUUUGCUUUAGUUAUUUAAGGUAACAAGAGCAUAAAAUUUAUUCCUGAUGGGAAUAAAACUGGACAGAAUGCUGCCUACCUUAAUACUAUGAUUGUUUUGAGGUAUAUAAAUCAUACUAUUUGAGCUGUCACAUAUACUUAUGCUUUACCAAAAUGAAUUUUAUGUGUGUUUAACUGGCAAUUUAGUGUAAUCUAAAACUCAAGUACUUAAUCUUACUCAUUAUGAAUACUUCUAUAAUCAAUUUAUCACAAGCCUUAAAUAUGUCUAGUAGAUUCUGUGAGAUAUAAAAAUUUCUAUACAUAAAGCUUGGGAUUUAUUAAAAACAUUUUGGUCUCCAAUAGGAUAUUUUUAAUUAUGUGAGUUUUAAAGAUAUGAAAACUUUCUUCUGUGUCUCACCCAAAGUUGCAAUCCUGAUAAUCCUGAUUUGUAGAGCCUUGAUUUGUCAGGACUGUCAUCUCAUCGAUUGUUCUUUUCUUGCCUUUAUCACUCACUGCACAUGUCCCCCAAGAUUGUACAGAUGUGUAAAACGCUACGGCUGAAACUUCACUUUCUUGCAGAUGCUUAAUAAAGACUAGUAUGAGUUCGCCCAGAAUGUGGCUUUCUCUUCCCUCUCCGUUGGUUGUGUAUACUAGAAACUGAACAUGGCAGCCUUAUGAAGGUCAAGUGUACUGUAGAGGAGAAGAAGAUUAACAGUUAUCAGUAACAUAUUACGUGCUACUUGAGCCUAUUUCAUAGACAAUAGAAAUUAGAAUGCCAAAUACCAAAUUUAAAAUUGCAGAAGAGACCUCAACAUUAACAUACUUAUAUUUGCUCCUUUAUAAAUUCUCCUUUUAAAGGAAUCCAAGCGGAUUGAGAAAGCCCUGGACAAGUGCUUUGCUGCAACAAUCACUUGCAAGCUUCUCUCUGGAGCAAGGGGAAACUAACAGAUUCCUCCUUGAAGCACGCCCAAGCCUUUGAUUACUUCUAUUACUGCACAGUGUCUAUAUCUGGCUAUUAAAUUGUGCAAUUUUCCUUCAUCAUAGACUUGGCUGCUUCAGGUUGAGAACACUGUACUCUGUCUUCUAAUUCCAGUAAAGUCAAUUAUAUAAACUCUUUUGCUUUUAACAAAAUUCUUUUUAGCACACUGCCUCUUGCGUAGCAGGCAGAGCUAAGCAAAAGGGAACUGUGCAAGCUUUUCAGGUACAGCUGAGUUCUGCUCAGCAGGUACAUUUAUUACUAAUGGGUAAAAUAGUCUCCGAUUUUAGCUACAUAAUGCUUCUGAAGCCUUCCGUUUUCUAGUUUGGAGAGACAUUCUCGUUUCACGGAGAGAGGACGGUGAAUGCCACUGAGCACAAGAUGAAACUGUAGCCAGGGCACUUUUUAUCAUUUAGCUUGCUUCAGAAGACAGCGCUGCUUGUGUCUUUAAUGGGUUGAUUUGCAUUAUGUAGCUCGGUCCACCCGGACUUAACCACUGAAACAUCUCCCUGGUUUGUACAAAAUGUCUUAGUUAAGACGGGUUUAAAAAAUGUGGGUGUUAUGUUUACAUAUUAAAUAUUUUAUCAGAAAGGAUUACUUUGAUACUUUGGUACACACUGUUAAAAUAGAAAUACUCUUUAUUUUUGGCACCAGAUCAAUUUAAGUUCUUUCUAGUGAUGGGGUAUUUUAACACAUUUUUCCUAGAGAGUUGCUCCUAAGUUAAUAAAUAAUACAUAAUCAUACGCUUAUCUAUUCCCUGUUCCCUCCCAUACCUGACAACACAUACCUUGGUAAUAAUGACUAGUUGUGCCUGUGUGGAAACCCUGAUAGUUUCUGCAUGGAGGAGGUUUUCUCACCUGCUGUGAGAUUUCUGGAUUUGUGGGUUUGUUGCAUCUAAUGAACUCUUACUUCCAUGUAGCCCUUGACGUUAAUGGAAAUGAGGUGAAUGAACCCAAUAGUCUUAACACACUUCCUACCUCCGAUGUUUCUUGAAUCGCUACUUGAGUGUGGUUCAUGAAUGGGAAGUUACAAAUACCAGGUUCACUUGAAUGCCUGGAAAAAUGUGGGAUCCCAAGCAACAUACCACACACAUGAAUCAGAUGAUAAGAUUUUAUUCUCUUCCCACCCCCCCUGCCUUCUCCAUUUUCUUCUCACUCUUCUCUCUUCCAUCCUCCUUUG